UUUAAAGUCUAAUCUGCCCUAUGAGGAUUUAAAUGGCCGCGGUACUUUGACCGUGCAAAGGUAGCAUAAUAAUUAGUUUUUUAAUUGAAAGCUGGAAUGAACGAUUGGACGAGAAAAUGACUGUCUCAAUUUAAUUUUAUUAGAAUUUUAUUUUUAAGUAAGAAAGCUUAAAUUUUAUUAAAAGACGAGAAGACCCUAUAGAGUUUUAUCAUUAAUUAAUUAUUGGUUUUUUAGAAUUAUUUUAUUGAUAAUUAAUUAAUUAUUUUAUUGGGGCGAUAGAAAAAUAUAAUAAACUUUUUUUUUUAGUUAAACAUUAAUUUAUGAUUUUAUGAUCCAUUUUUUAUGAUUAUAAGAUUAAGUUACCUUAGGGAUAACAGCGUAAUUUUUUUUUAGAGUUCUUAUCGAAAAAAAAGGUUGCGACCUCGAUGUUGGAUUAAAAUUAAUCCUUGGUGUAGAGGCUAAGGUAUUGGGUCUGUUCRACCCUUAAAAUUUUACA
rnacentral:rRNA from 1 species